rnacentral:rRNA from 1 species
UACAGAGGUCUCAAGCGUUGUUCGGAUUCAUUGGGCGUAAAGGGUGCGUAGGCGGCGCGGUAAGUCGGAUGUGAAAUCUUGGAGCUUAACUCCGAAACUGCAUUCGAUACUGCCGUGCUUGAGGACUGGAGAGGAGACUGGAAUUUACGGUGUAGCGGUGAAAUGCGUAGAUAUCGUAAGGAAGACCAGUGGCGAAGGCGGGUCUCUGGACAGUUCCUGACGCUGAGGCAUGAAGGCCAGGGGAGCAAACGGG